AAUUGAUGUUAAACAGUUCCUUUUAUUGUAAUUGCAAUACUUUAAAAACGUGUAAACACGCUCACGUGUUUAACACGUGUAAACGCGCUCACGUGUACGAAGCUCUAUAAUAAAUACGGCCGUGCUGUCUAGCGCUCAGUCAUUCGUGUCCGAGCCAUUGCACUGUACAGGUCUCUCUAGAACGUUAUUAAGCUCCUCGUAAAAUAUACGCAGUUUUAGUGAAGUUCUCGUGAAGUUUUGUUUCGGAAACCCAAAUAUGAGUCAUCGUCAAAGAAAGUAAUAACCGUCACACUUUUUCAAAACAUUACAGGCGAUUCUCCUCCGUCAUGUAUUAUAGUAGACCGUACGUUAUUCGUACAAGAAACAAUCAAUGGUGUAAGUGGGACGAUAUAGAAUUCAUACGGCGUUUUCGUGUUUCCAAAACAGUAGCACAAGCUAUUUUAUGUGAAUUGAAAACCAUGUUCGACAUCCUACUUCACGGAAUAACGCAUUAUCACCAAUGAACCAAGUACUUACAUUAAGAUUCUAUGCAACUGGAAGUAUGCAAAUAACAGCUGGAGAAUUCAGUGGAGUUCAUCAAACUACAGCAGGAAAAACAAUUAAAAGUUAUUUUCCUUUGCGAAAGCGCGGCUAGCGAAUAAGAGCGUCUUCGUAUGCAAUGAUAAAGCAGAGAAGAGAACCAAAUCUACCAUUUCUCUAUAGUCUUCAUGCAUUUUUUUAUUUACUUUGACAUGGACGUUACUCUAGCAAAAUAGGUACUCGGGAAGCUGCAAUCGCUUACAGUGUUUAUAUUAAAUUUCUUUAAUAAUUUCUCUGAAUAUUUUUGUUGGCGUAAUUUAAUACCGCUA